UACGAAGGGGGCGAGCGUUGUUCGGAUUUACUGGGCGUAAAGGGCGCGUAGGCGGCCUUGUCAGUCAGGCGUGAAAGCCCCGGGCUCAACCUGGGAACGGCGCUUGGGACGGCGAGGCUGGAGUUCGGGAGAGGAGAGUGGAAUUCCCAGUGUAGAGGUGAAAUUCGUAGAUAUUGGGAAGAACACCGGUGGCGAAGGCAGGUCUCUGGGCUGACACUGACGCUCAUGCACGAAAGCGUGGGGAGCAAACAGG
rnacentral:rRNA from 1 species